rnacentral:rRNA from 1 species
AACGAACGCUGGCGGCAUGCCUAACACAUGCAAGUCGAACGAGACCUUCGGGUCUAGUGGCGCACGGGUGCGUAACGCGUGGGAACCUGCCCUUAGGUUCGGAAUAACUCCCCGAAAGGGGUGCUAAUACCGGAUAAUGUCUUCGGACCAAAGAUUUAUCGCCUUUGGAUGGGCCCGCGUUGGAUUAGCUAGUUGGUAGGGUAAAAGCCUACCAAGGCGACGAUCCAUAGCUGGUCUGAGAGGAUGAUCAGCCACACUGGGACUGAGACACGGCCCAGACUCCUACGGGAGGCAGCAGUGGGGAAUAUAGGAAAAUGGGCGAAAGCCUGAACCAGCAAGGCCGCGUGAGUGAUGAAGGCCUUAGGGUUGUAAAGCUCUUUUACCCGGGAUGAUAAUGACAGUACCGGGAGAAUAAGCUCCGGCUAACUCCGUG